rnacentral:rRNA from 1 species
GACGAACGCUGGCGGCGUGCUUAACACAUGCAAGUCGAACGGAAAGGCCCUGCUUGCAGGGUACUCGAGUGGCGAACGGGUGAGUAACACGUGGGUGAUCUGCCCUGCACUUCGGGAUAAGCCUGGGAAACUGGGUCUAAUACCGGAUAGGAGCCAUUUUUAGUGUGAUGGUUGGAAAGUUUUUUCGGUGUAGGAUGAGCUCGCGGCCUAUCAGCUUGUUGGUGGGGUAAUGGCCUACCAAGGCGGCGACGGGUAGCCGGCCUGAGAGGGUGGACGGCCACAUUGGGACUGAGAUACGGCCCAGACUCCUACGGGAGGCAGCAGUGGGGAAUAUUGCACAAUGGGCGCAAGCCUGAUGCAGCGACGCCGCGUGGGGGAUGACGGCCUUCGGGUUGUAAACUCCUUUCGCUAGGGACGAAGCUUUUUGUGACGGUACCUAGAUAAGAAGCCCCGGCUAACUACGUG